AGACCCGAAACCCGGUGAUCUAGCCAUGGGCAGGUUGAAGGUUGGGUAACACUAACUGGAGGACCGAACCGACUAAUGUUGAAAAAUUAGCGGAUGACCUGUGGCUGGGGGUGAAAGGCCAAUCAAACCGGGAGAUAGCUGGUUCUCCCCGAAAGCUAUUUAGGUAGCGCCUCGUGAAUUCAUCUCCGGGGGUAGAGCACUGUUUCGGCUAGGGGGCCAUCCCGGCUUACCAACCCGAUGCAAACUGCGAAUACCGGAGAAUGUUAUCACGGGAGACACACGGCGGGUGCUAACGUCCGUCGUGAAGAGGGAAACAACCCAGACCGCCAGCUAAGGUCCCAAAGUCAUGGUUAAGUGGGAAACGAUGUGGGAAGGCCCAGACAGCCAGGAUGUUGGCUUAGAAGCAGCCAUCAUUUAAAGAAAGCGUAAUAGCUCACUGGUCGAGUCGGCCUGCGCGGAAGAUGUAACGGGGCUAAACCAUGCACCGAAGCUGCGGCAGCGAACGUAUCACCCAAGACAACUUUACGGAGUUGACGAUUGACGGAGCGAAGCGACGUCAAAGCGUUCAUUAAAGUCGAGUUGGCUUAGGGAUACGUUCGUUGGGUAGGGGAGCGUUCUGUAAGCCUGUGAAGGUGUGUCGUGAGGCAUGCUGGAGGUAUCAGAAGUGCGAAUGCUGA
rnacentral:rRNA from 3 species